rnacentral:tRNA from 1 species
ACUCUUUUAGUAUAUUAGUACAUGUAACUUCCAAUUACAAAGUUUAAACAUUUAAAAGAGUA